AUCACAAAUGAGAUGCUGAGAUGGUGAGGGUGAAAGAAUUGAACAGGGUCAGAGAUUCCGCUGGUCUGCAGUGAGAGUGAUGCGAGGUCAGUAGGAUUUAGAGCUCAUGUGAGCUUCUCUCUACCUCCUAGCUUGAGCCGCUCACAACAAUGACGAUGCUGGCAUCUCUGAUUUCCGAGAACAGUAUUACUGGAGCCGGUGCAAUCAGCGGCACAGCAGUGGUUUCACUAGAAACCAACCUGACAUUGGACAAAACCCACCACGGUGCCAGCUAAAACCAGGAUUAGUACAAGUACAACCUGUGCAUGCCACUUAAUUAAAGGGAGGGGGAGAAGACGAGCUCGGGCCAUGGAUAAUCCCCCCUGUUCACGCGAUUCCAUGGAAGAUCGAUGACACUGCAUCAGCUCUGUCGUUGCUCUCCCUACAAAGCCUACCGGGGAAGAGGAGCAGAAUUGAGGAUGAGUUUUGUAAUGGCCAGUAGGCGUCGUCGUCACCUGAUGCCCUGCGCCUACUCGAUUUGCAGCCCCGGACAAGAUUGUAAUCAACCCACUGUGGAGUUGCCGAUGUCGACGACGCACACUGUCGGUGGUCCCGCCCCUGCCGAUUAUUCUCGCCGCGGUCGGAUUAGCUGACCGCCAAGGAUUUAUAAUCCCCCGGACAAGUACAAGAUGUCGCCAUACAGAAUCGCGGGCGGAUCGUGUAGGAUCUGCUGUCGGAUCAUGAUCUGAGGGCCGCCGCCGCCGCCGCCGUCGUCGUCAUCCGUCGAUGAGGCGUGUACUCCUCCUCCUCCUCCUCCUCCUGCUGCAGCUGCUGAGAUGAGAAGACGAAGGCCGACCCCAUUGUUUCAUUUUCAGCAUGCGAGGGGUAAGAUUAUGCAUCCGGAACAAAUCUUUUGCGGAUGUGAUGAAGAUGAUUAAUGGUUUUGUCGAUUGCUGGGUGCAGCAGAUCUGGAUUCUCAUGCGGAGCUCAUGCAGCAGGUUGAGGCCACGACUCCCCACCCUUGGGUGGGACGAGAGCUUGAUGCACCAAGAACAAGAGCUACCAUGUUUUGUCAUUAUCAUCCCUAAGGAAAAGCUAUUAGGUUUGGACACUGGAGGACGAGGGAGGGGCGGGUGGGGGGUUUUGUUUCUUUCCCUGUCGAACCUAUGGCUUCCUCCAACCCCUAUGUGAUUCGGUGGCUCGUGGCGGCCUCCCCACAGCCAAGCCAACUCCCUUGUCUCUGCCGAGUACUACUAACUCCAGCCUCCGAUUCGAAAUCACGGGAUCGGCUGUCCCCGUCUCGAACAGGAUCGAGCUUCGUAGUGACACGCGGCGGCUUUUUAUUGCAAGACGUAUUGGAUCCCGCGUGAUUCCCACCCGUCCAAAGGGCACAGCUUUUGUCACGUGGGUUGGUCGGAAACGUACCCUCUCCCCUAUUCGCCUACCUGCCUCGCUUAAUGGGCCCCAUGCUGGACCCGCCUUUCGCCUCCUCCCCCCGUGGUCUCACCUACCCGCGGACUCGCCCCGGAACCAACACAGCCGAUGUCACCCAUGACGCGCCCAGCGAGCCAUACUAACUUGACAGGGUCAAAACGCCCACCAAACCCGACGGACUGGGCGGUUCGCCUCGCGAAUUGCCACCCAAAUCUUUCAAUUCUUGUCCACGUUGUCUUCUUCUUCUUCUUCUUCUUCUUCUCUGCUGCUUCUGCCAUUCCACAAGGCUAUAUAACACUAAACAACGCCUCUAAUCUCCAUAGAUUAUUAGUAGGCUAAUGACGGGACUCUACGUGAGCCUCGAGCUUGAUGUCGGCAUGAGAAUCUCUGGCGUAUUUUAUUCCGCGGGCAGGCGAAGGCAGCCACCGGGGAAUUUUGUCGAACUAGUUUCGGGUGCCUCGAAAUUGACUGAAUCAGCGUCGCGUUGGACUCGGCGGAUGCCUCCUGUUCCCCGAUGUUCUCGCGGGACAUAAAAGCCACAACAUAAUUCGAGUAAUCCGUGCCCAAAUCAACGCUACAAGAAUAUUUCUUUAAGUUAUGAUGACCAUAAAAGAUGUAUAAUUAUUGGGAUCAUGCGAAUCGAGGUUGAUAUACCCACAUGCUUUUGGGAAAUUAUUAAUGAUAGAGGUACCCAAGUCUGGUCUCCAUGGCACAUAGGCCCCCUUAUCAACCCUAGAAAUUAGGAGAACAGUGAUCAUCAUGUCUGCACGUACGUUUCGCCUCUCUCUUUUCUCUCGUUUUUUCCGACCACAAUUCUUAUUAUCCUUUUUGUAUUGUACAUUAUUAUUAUUAUUAUUAUAAGGAAUUUGAAUCGGGUUCGGUGGGAGGAGGGAGAUGAGGGCAAACGUGCGGCCGUGAUUUCAUGCGUGCGGCUGACGCACUCGUUCCGCCAGCCCCGACUCGGCCACCCACCACGCGCUCGCGGAUACGACGGUGCGGCCCCACUCGGUCGAGCUUUCCGCGAACGUCUUUGAAGACAUAGGCGUGGAACAGUCGAUCAAUGGGAUUUGAUGAGGUCAAAGUUGAACUGCAGUCAACAUUUUGAAUCCAUCCGAUCCACAAUUUAUUUUUCAGUAAAUUAAAAUUAAUUAUUAAAUACUCGAUCGAUCACAGUGGUUUGAUUAUGUCCCUUAAAAUCAUUUUAUCUAAUAGAAAAUAAUUUAUCUCGAUUUAUUUAUUUACAUAUAUAUGUAUGUUGGAUUAAGAUAAGAGGAUGGGGGUGGAAGGGACGAAAUCACGUGCAGCGGGGUGACGGGACAGUGAAGGAAAAGAGGAGCCUGAUGCGAUCACAACGCCAACCGUCUCUUUCUCUCGCUCGCUCGUUCGCUCUGUGGAUGGUCAACAUAUUCCAUCUACCGAAAUCAUAUGCUGCUGCCGUGAAUACCACCAGAUGCCAAGAAACACCUGUACCCUUGUCCAGCACAGAGUGCCUAGGAAUGUAAUGAUUCCAAAUCCCUGUUGAUCUGGCCACACCUAUUUGGUGGCAGAACCUGGCAUGAUUGUGCCUGUACAAGUGGUGACACCAAAUUGGAGGAGGAUGCAGCAGAGAAUAAAAUUAGUGUCAAUCAGCAACCCAGUCAAUCACAUUCCUAAUUGUUAUUGUCUUCUCAACCUCAUAAUUAUAUUCUGCAUGGGGGCCUAUAGAGUGUAACACCUAUCAUCUUAGGGAUUGAUGGAACAGCUCACUGAUUUAACUUGCUACUGACAUGACCAAUUAGUACAUUGAUCAUUGGUGUGGGUUAACCAUGGAACAAAUUUUCCUAUGAUUUUGAUUAUAAUAGGUAUAAUAUUAAUUUGAUCAAUAUUCCAUAUCACAAAAUUUAUUCUAACGACAUAAAACACUCGUCCUAAAAAAGAAAAAAACCCCUCCUCAUAAGGCAUUCGAAUUUAGUGAAUUAAAAAUAUAUUAAAUUACUUGGUGAGAAAAUAUUAACAUGAUAUGCCUAGUCUGAUUGAUCGAAUAUGGUGAUCUUAUCGAAUAAUAAUAUUUGUCCUACCGAUAUUAGGAGUCUUGUAGAUAGGUCACAGUUAUGUUGAUUUUGCUUCAUAAUUAGAUCUUCUUGGUGACUUAUUUUGAAAUGAUAAAUGUAUCAAAUGAUAUGAAUUAUGGCUUCUAUAUAUCAAGAAUGCAAUGUUAGAUGUGAUAACUUCGCCAGAGUAUAAAAGUUUAGAUGUCUGAAUCAGAAGUGGUCGGGCUGUUAUAAAUGAUGACAAACCGGCAGAAAUUGCCUCUGAAGCACAAUGAUUUUUUUGACAAGAAUGAGCAUGAUACAACCACUAAUUGAUCAGAAUCAUAGUAACGAGAACAACGAUUAUUUGAUGAGGAAUCAAACACAUGGUAUUUUUUACAAUGAACAAAUUCUUUUGAUGAUGAAGGCGGAACUUCAAGAAAAUUGCCAGUGCAGGUUUAGAAAAGAUCAGAGUAACUUAGAUGCGGGCAUCUUGCACAGCUUCCUGUAGGUUUUUGACAGCACUAUCAUAGUUCACAAGGCCCAUGAACCAGAACUCAUGGUUGUCGAUCGAGACAACCUGAAUGUAUUUUUCGCCUAGCUUUACGUUGCUCGCUGUUGGAUUAACUGAUCUGAUCUGAUGCAGAGGAAUUAUCACCUGUAUAGAUGACAAAAGGAGAAAAAUCAGAGUUAUCUAUGUGAAGAGCAGCCACCGACAGUGAUCUUAUUUCUCCCUCCAGCAUAAAAGUAUUAGUGAAAUUAUAAACAUAGAGAUGACAUAAUCUUGUGCCAAAGAGAGAGCAAAAAAAAAAAAAAAGAA